CCGGCGCACGGGUGAGUAACACGUAUCCAACCUGCCGUCUACUCUUGGACAGCCUUCUGAAAGGAAGAUUAAUACAAGAUGGCAUCAUGAGUCCGCAUGUUCACAUGAUAAAGGUAUUCCGGUAGACGAUGGGGAUGCGUUCCAUUAGAUAGUAGGCGGGGUAACGGCCCACCUAGUCUUCGAUGGAUAGGGGUUCUGAGAGGAAGGUCCCCCACAUUGGAACUGAGACACGGUCCAAACUCCUACGGGAGGCAGCAUG
rnacentral:rRNA from 1 species